rnacentral:rRNA from 1 species
UCAGCCGCCGCGGUAAGACGUAGGGGGCGAGCGUUGUCCGGAAUUACUGGGCGUAAAGAGCACGUAGGCGGAGACUUAAGUCAGGUGUGAAAGACCGUGGCUCAACCACGGAUGGGCACUUGAAACUGGGUCCCUUGAGGGCAGGAGAGGAAAGCAGAAUUCCUGGUGUAGCGGUGAAAUGCGUAGAAAUCAGGAGGAAUACCAGUGGCGAAGGCGGCUUUCUGGACUGACCCUGACGCUGAGGUGCGAAAGCGUGGGUAGCAAACAGGAUUAGAUACCCUGGUAGUCCACGCCGUAAACGAUGGAUACUAGGUGUGGGAGGUAUCGACCCCUUCCGUGCCGCAGUUAACGCAAUAAGUAUCCCGCCUGGGGAGUACGAUCGCAAGGUUGAAACUUAAAGGAAUUGGCGGGGGA